rnacentral:rRNA from 1 species
UCAGGAUGAACGCUAGCUACAGGCUUAACACAUGCAAGUCGAGGGGCAGCAUGACGAUAGCUUGCUAUUGUUGAUGGCGACCGGCGCACGGGUGAGUAACGCGUAUCCAACCUGCCCUUGUCCAUCGGAUAACCCGUCGAAAGGCGGACUAACACGAUAUGUAGUUCUCAGCAGGCAUCUAACGAGAACGAAAUGUGAAGGAGAAGGAUGGGGAUGCGUCUGAUUAGCUUGUUGGCGGGGUAACGGCCCACCAAGGCGACGAUCAGUAGGGGUUCUGAGAGGAAGGUCCCCCACAUUGGAACUGAGACACGGUCCAAACUCCUACGGGAGGCAGCAGUGAGGAAUAUUGGUCAAUGGACGGAAGUCUGAACCAGCCAAGUAGCGUGCAGGAUGACGGCCCUAUGGGUUGUAAACUGCUUUUAUACGGGGAUAAAGUGAGCCACGUGUGGCUUAUUGCAGGUACCGUAUGAAUAAGGACCGGCUAAUUCCGUGCCAGCAGCCGCGGUAAUACGGAAGGUCCGGGCGUUAUCCGGAUUUAUUGGGUUUAAAGGGAGCGUAGGCCGUUUGUUAAGCGUGUUGUGAAAUGUCGGGGCUCAACCUGGGCAUUGCAGCGCGAACUGGCAGACUUGAGUGCGCGGGAAGUAGGCGGAAUUCGUCGUGUAGCGGUGAAAUGCUUAGAUAUGACGAAGAACUCCGAUUGCGAAGGCAGCCUGCUGUAGCGUAACUGACGCUGAAGCUCGAAAGCGUGGGUAUCGAACAGGAUUAGAUACCCUGGUAGUCCACGCGGUAAACGAUGGAUGCUCGCUGUUUGCGUCUGACGUAAGCGGCCAAGCGAAAGCGUUAAGCAUCCCACCUGGGGAGUACGCCGGCAACGGUGAAACUCAAAGGAAUUGACG